GUGUUUAGAGUACUGUGCUGAGAAGCUGGAGAGAUGCAGGUUCAAAUUCCCACUGAGAUAGGUGGACCUAGAACCUGGCUCUCCUGCCCCCUAGGGGAUGCCACGACACUCGGCUACUGGGGCAAAAACAUGGUAUUGUCCUCCUUUCUUGUCCUGGGACGUAUUCUUAGCUUCUGCCAAGACUACUGUGCAUGUUCAAUGUGUGCACAUGCUUAGGCAUACACACUGAAGGGGUAACACAGUUGUAAUGUGUGCAUAAGUGACAAAACCACCACUUAUGUUCCAUUCAGAAACCCAAUGGGGUAACAGAAAUCUGCCCAAAGUUAUCACAAACAAGAUGGACAUCAGGUGGCUGCUUUCUUCUCCAUACCAAAGUUAAGUGAUUGACAGGAAAAGUCACGGCAAAAACUCUUACAGCAGGUCUGGACUGCAUCCAGGAGCACAGCUCUCCACCACUCCCUGACCACCCUCACGCACCAGUUCCAGAUGUUAUUUAGUGUAACACCCACACACACACUCAGGUUGUGCGUGGUAAAGUGUGCACAUGUGUGUCUGUGCGUGUGUUUUAGGGUUGAUGGCCCCUGUUGUUCUGGCCAUGUGUUCAGCACAUGGCAAGCUAGGGCCUGUAUCUGGGCAAAAUAUGUAAAACUCUCCAGCCGCAUUGGCCAGAGGAAGCAAAGGACUCUUAAGGCUGAUUGGUUGGAAGAAAGACUGGAGUGUGGCACUCCCUGAUUGGACAAGGCUUGGGUGAUGUCAUACCAGGUAUAUAAGAACAACUGAACGAAAGUUUCUUUUUUUCCUGGGGCUAGUGAGAGCUGCGCAGCUGAAUUGGGAGCCAGAAAACCUGCUCCCCAUGGGGGGGGUCUCCACCCCUCUUCACUGGAGAAGUGAGUGAAAGAGCUGGGAUUGGGACUAGGGAUUUUGGGGUGCAGUGUGCUGACGAAAGCUGCAGUUAACCCCUCCAAGUCACCAUGAGGAAGUGGAGGUCGGCACUUUACCACGUCUCUAGGAGCAACGGAGCCCAUUGCAACGCUGAAGGACCUACACUUGAGCAGCUGCCUGCGGCACAGUGAAACCAAGGAGUAGCUCAGGACUCUCCGGUGGGGACCUCCUCUCCAGCCCAUUGCUGAAAGGCAGGUAUAGUGGUGCAGGCCCCCAGAACUACCCGUUGGGGAGCCCAAAGUCCCAGACUGUCUGCGUAUGCGUGAAGCCUCCCCCAAGAGGGUGAAGCCUAUAGACUUUGCUUUGUAGUUAAUAGUGUUUUUAAAUUAUGUUUAGUGGUUUUUUGUUCUUUGGUUCUUUAUACUAAAUUUGACUUUUUGUUUACACUGCUUGUGGGGAGGGGGCUUUGUUAAUAUGGGACACCCCAGCAAAUUUAGUGUUCCCAGAUUUCUGGGUGGGGUCUUAAGCCACUUGGUAUAAUUUAUGAGGUACCCCAAAAUGUGAACCCAGCCAUUUUGCUGCUGACCAGUGCCUGGCAGAAGGGUUACCUUAGCAAAACCGCCCUGAGUGUGGCACUUGCCCAUGCACUGGAGACCUCUGCUGUGCUUAAGAGUGGUGGCAGGGGCCCCUUCAAGUCUUUCGUUGCCUCACGUCUGAGACUGUGGGGCUGGGACACGUGGGAAUGCUUGACAGAGUCCUCCUGCAAUAUUCAAGGCCCAGUUUUUCUUUGCCUUUCACCUUAUAUAGGUGCUUAGGGCCAGUUCUGCAGAGAGCCACCUAACCUUACUGAGCUGCUUCCCUCUGCCUUGCCUCCAGUGGAAUGUAGGUGCUGUACUGUGUUUCUGGAUCUGGCUCUCACUCUUGUGCCAUGUCACAAUGGCAGCCUGCGCCAGCGGCAUGGGCAAGGCAGUGGAGAGCCAGAGCUGUGGCCUGGAUUGCAUCCUCCCCUUACCCCACGUCCUGCAGAGCGCCAGAGGCACUGAGCCUGCUGUCACUGCCUCAUCUCCCCAUAACAAAAAAUUAAUUUCUCUGAGAUGCAGGAACUGCUUUGUUCUCAGAAUUGUAAAAGAGACCGAAGAGGAAAGCACUGUCAACAGCACUAGGGCAGCAGGAGAGGGGUGGGGCCACAUUUUCAUCUGGCUGAGCCAUAGGUGUACAGUGAGCUCUGAGCUCACCAUCUGGUCACCGCGGGCUCCUGCUGGAGCAGCACGAGCUCUGGCUUUUAUGUGGUUCCGGAGCCCAGGGGAUGAAUGCCACUACCAUUCAUCCUCUUUUCCCCUGCCAUUAAAUUCAGGAUGGGGGAAAGAUGAGCAGCAGUGGUGCUCACUGCCUAGGCUGAAGCAAUGCAAAAAUGGUGGCUCCAGCCAGAACUUGCUCUAACUAGCUGGUGAGCUCAGAGCUCGUUGUGCAAGUGUGGUUAAUGAAAGGGGAGUGCAACUGAGACCACUUCUCUGGACUAAGGGAGGAAGGAUGGUCUAGUCUAGUGGCUAUUAGCUUCAAACACAAACCACUUGGAUUCAAGUUCUACCUGAGGCAUAGGCCACUGCAUAUGUCUGUGCCCCAGCUGAAAAAAGGAGAUACAACUUCCCUACCUUGCCCUACACAUCAAAGUUUGUGAGGGGCAGAGACAAUUGCACCAUAUACAGAAGUAGACUCCCCACCUUUCUGCAGGCCUAGAGGGGGCUGUCCUUUGCUGUCCUAGAGGGGGUUGGUGCUUUGCUUGCUUCAGUUUCAAAUGUUUCCAUCAAGAACAAUGCUACUGCUUCCAAAAUGUAAGUGACUCCCAUGAUGUUUAAUAUUUUCUUAAAGCCCAGCUCCUGGAAUCACGUGAUGAUGUGAGAAUAUCACCAGUCAUAUUUCUAUAAAAGUAAGUUUCUAGCCUCCAUGGUUGUGGAAGGAAGCGUAAAGACCUGAUUGGAACGCAGCCUAGAGGUGUGGACACUAGAAAGGAAAUAAGAGCCCCAUGGCUCUUGCGUGUUAGUCUCCUAAUUAUUGGGUGCUUGACGCAUGAUGUUUGAAUGCUUGCAACUAGCAGUACUGGUGAAUUGGUGUCAUGAUGGCCUUCCAGUUGUACACUUGCUCUUCAAUAGAGGAGGUGGAGAUAAAGUCAGACAUGUCUUCCUCAUAGCUCAGACUCAGCAGUGCUUUUCACAAGCUUUUGAGCCUCUCUGAACUGCACCUCAGGAGCACAGAGGCAGCUGUAGUUAUAAUGAAUGUUUAAACUAGAAACCCAGUCAAAAAAGUGUAACCCCAUCUUCCCUGUUGCUCAAAGCCUCUCAGACAUUAUUCAUUGGAGAAGUGUUGAAAUACAACCAUGAGGAUUGAAUAGCCACUCUCAAAUGAGAAAGCACCUCUGUAUUUUUCUGAACAAUUCACACACUGACAGGAGGUUUUCCUCAAAACAUAUGUAUCAUUUUCAUAUUUCUAACAAAGAAGCAGACACUGUAAAUACCUCAUGUUGCUUUCAGGCAUGACUUGGCAUGACCCGGACCCAGCGGCACUUCCCAGAAACAUGCACACAACCGUGGAAAUGACGCUCAGCCUGAAGGGCCAUUUUCCCCAGGUGCUGGAACGUUGUUUUCUGAUAAAUGUUGGAAAAAAAUUACUUUCAAGCUAGAUGUAUAUGGGGAGAGGGGAGUGAGAGCUGGGGAGACGGCACUGCAUCCUGUCUCCUCUUGGCUCAUUCCAGCCUGAAAGCAUCCCAGUGCUGGAUGCUAAAUAACCCACAUUACCACAAGCUCUCCAGGAUCAUGAAGCACAAGAUGAAUAAUCUUUUCAAGGGCUUGGUUCAUAAUUCAGACAUGAUGACACCGAAGCCAGCUUGAAUUAGUCAUUUGUUUUAUCCCAUUGAAACUACAUGGUGUGCAUGGUUUUAAGCAAGGAAAGCAGCAUCAUUCUGAAAUGACAAGGAGGCAGCCAGGGAGGUUGGUUUUCACCGCUUCUGGGCCCUUCAGCAUAUCAAAGCAGUAACAUUUGGUACAGUGGCACUUGGGGACAAAUCCUGCCCUCAUCUCUGCCCAUGAAGAAAUGGUUUGGUUCUCCCCAUUCUUUGGAAAAGGGAGGAAGUUGCUGUUAUUCAAUAUUCCCCAUGGAGUGGGAGGCCCUUUAUAGGAAAGGGGGGCUCCCAACUGAAGCUUGUAUGAAUAUCCUAUUGAAACUAUUUUUCAGCUAAAUCAAACAGAAGGUGUUGUCUGACCAGGGAACCUGGCCCAGCAGAGGGAAUGAGGGCACCAGGAUACUGCACCUGUGGGGCACUGCAGCAGCACUCUCACAUGCAAUCUGUGGCAGCACCCAGCACCCAUGCCAAACCUCUCAGCUUCUCCAAAUCCAAGCCUGUUACUCCCUGAGCACAUUCACUCUUUCAUAUUUUCAUCCUGAUCUGGAGCAACAGUAAUGUUGGGGUAUCUGGCCUUUCCACAACAGACCUCAUUUGUGCUCAGCUGCCUUUUUGAUUGUGAAACUGCCUUCAUUAUGCCUAGCUCCAUAGCGUGUGUCAGAGCAUUACAAUUCUCCCUCACCCUUUUUGUUGGUUGCUUCCAUAUUAGCACAAAUGAGGUUAUUGAAGAGCAGGAUCAAGGAACGAGAGUCGCUUUGUCUUUCAAAAAUCCUUCCCCCCCCCUGCCGCCGGUUGAUAAUCAAAGUAAUAAUAAUUUACUCUUCCCCCCUGCCCCCGUUGAUAAUCGAAGUAAUAAUUGAAGUAUCUCUGUUUUGUGUGGUUUUUAAAAUUAGUGCUGUCCCUUUAAGGCAGGGGCGGGCAAUUAUUUUGGGUGGAGGGCAAGUUUUGGCAAGCCAUGGAGGGCUGCAUGACAGGCAGCUUUAAAUUUAUAAUUUUUUUUAGGGGCUUCGUGGGCUGGAUAGAAUGGCCUGGUGGGUCGCAUCUGGCCCAUGGGCCACAUUUUGCCCACCCUUGCUUUAAGGUCUGCUAAUCUUCUCUGAACUCGAGAGCUUUCAGCUUUGUUCUUUGAUAAAUAUAUGUAGCAAAGACUCCUAAUAAUAAAUCAUUUAUAAAUUGAGGUGGAAGACCAGACUGUGGGGUCUAGCAUGGACCCAUGAAACUUCCCUACUGCUCUUCCUCCAUUUUGGCAAAUGAAUAUUAUGUGUUAGGUGCAAUAUCUCAGCUUGAAGAGGAAGGUUAAAGAAUGCCUAACCUGUGAUCUGAUGGCCUAUAGCACUAAGCUGGGAAGUCAGAGACCUAGAUUUAAACCUCCUCUGGGUGAGCAGUGGGAUGCUAGAACCUGGGGGCACUUUAAGACAUGCCUCACUUUCUGAGCAAGGGCCCUAACUACUAAGUUAUAUGACAGAUAUAUCAGAGGGUCUUCAUGGGAUUUUGCUGAGCUACAACUUUUGGGCAGACUCGUAUGCAUACAUGUGGCACUGCAUAUCUUCUUGGCCAGAGCACAGCCGAACACGUGCUCAGUAGCUGUACAGACACUUAUGUGUGUCCACGCUGUGUAUGGAAUAGGAUCACGGUUGUGUCUUACUGUGUUUUCCUUGGGCUGUCCUUUUAAGGCCAAAGCCCUCUUGCUCAGUACUGCAGGGUUCAUUUCUUCGCGGCAGUUUUUGCAGCACUGGCGACUCCAUUUUCUCUGCCUUGAGGAUCCAGAGGCAUUCUUGGUUUCUCUCACUCUACAGGAUUGGACGGGGUCAAGUCAGAGGCAGAGCAAAUAUAAGUUCUGCAUACAUAGACUAAGGGCAAUUGUUAAGAUCCACCCUGGAUAUGAUUCCAGAGAGUUAUAAUAAUAAAUAACUGUUAGUUCAACCCAGGAGUGUCCAGAGUGGUGUUGCUGCACUCACAGCAUAUCAAUCACAACCUGUGCAUAAGUGCCAAAAGCAGUAGCCACAGAGCUGGGUAUCAUUUGGGCAUGUAAAAUGAAAUAAGAUUCUGCCCAUUGUGUCUAAACCAAGGACAAACUACAUAGAAAUAGAGGCAGAACCUUGCCUAGAAAUCCUGUUCCUGCCUUCUACUCUACUCAACAAGCUGUGCAGAAUGACCUGCAAGUAAAACUCUUGCCCAUGCCAAUUAAGGUGUGUAAGGAGGACUUCAGUAGACUAGUCAUUAGUAGGAUGACUGUGAGCUACCAAUGCGAUAGGGCCAUGAAAGAAAGCUAGCUCAGCUUGUAUCAGACUGGGUAUUUGCAGAAGAGAGAGGGAUGUAUUUGUUCCAUUGCUCAAGGCAUGAGUUAAACCUCAUCUGGAAGACAGUACAGCUCUGGUUACCUGCAUGCAAGAAGGAUGCAUUGAAACUGGCAGUGGUGCAGAGAAUGGCUGGGAGGAAAAUCACAGGAGCAGAAUGUCUGUCCUGUGAGAGGAAGCUAGAAGCGUUUGGCUUGUUUAGCCAUUAAUACAAAAGCUGAGAGGGGAUCUGAAUGCACUUUCAGUACAUCAGGGAAGUAAAUGCCAAGGAGGGAAAACAACUACCAGUCUUUAAGUCAGAGGUCUAUGUUGGCACAAGCACAAAGAUAUCAACUGGCCAUCAAAUGUAAGCUGGAAACUAGAAGACUUUUACCCAUCAGAGGAGAACAGAUGAGAAAAUUCUCUCUCUGAUGGGAAAAGGGCAGGAUUACAGCAGGAAAGGGGGAUGGGAUGAAAGCAGAGGGGAGAGGAAAGGUCAUUUAUUUUCUGUGAAAAGAGAGGCAGGGGCUGUAGAAGGGGAGAAUGUGAGGGAUGGGUCAAAGACAGUGAAAGGAGGGCCGGACUGCAGGUAGGCGAGUCCAGGCCAUUGUGUAGCUGGUUGAACUACAUGUUACAGAGAAGCUGCUGGCUUGGGUGAGGAAUGAACAUUAACUGUUCUGGUAAUUCAGCUUCUGGAUUUUGCCUUUCUUCCUUGUUCUCCCUAGUCUUAGGUGGGAGAGGCAGCAUAAUAAAUCUGUGGGGACAUCUUCCUGGAUGCCUGAUCUUUCCUGAGCUAGAACUUUUCAGAACUCUCUUGAGAACCUGGUUUUGGUAAAUUUCUAGCCCAUUUUCCAGACUAAAGCUGUUUCCAUUAACUUGGGUUCCUCUGGCCAAACUUCCAGAUCUGAAUUCUGAUCACCAGAUUUACACUCCUGUGUAACCAGCAUCAGAAUUUACCCCCGCUGCUUUGUAACCAAAUCAACACUUGAGGCAUUUCCUGCCUCUAUCGCAAAUGCAACAGUGAAAGAAAAUGAGUACACCAAUACAGCUAGCCUUCCAACUCCCACUUCUGCAGGCAACACAGGAGAUCAGUCCAUUUCUGUUGCAUGUUGCCUUUUAUGACAGGUCAAUAUAUAUCUAUACAAAGUAUUUUUGUUAGCAUUGUGAUUUAUCUCUCCAAUUUACAGAUGCUACUCCACCUGUUUUGGAGGUCCUGCAUGCUGUGCCUUUAAUGGGUUUGCUCGGUUCCAAACUCAUUAGGUUGCCUCAAUUAUAUCAGCUAAUUUUAGCUGAGCUCUGAUUGCUCCCUCUGUGUUUCAUUAGCUGGAAUUUGUUAGGUUGAAAUUCAGCUCAGCAUUUAGCAGCAUUUCCCUUUCUGUCUUCCAUCUUCACUUUGCAGUCUUGUGUCAUUAUAUUGCCAUGAAACUCUAGGGUCAUCUGUGGGUCCUGUGAAUUGUAAUGUCUGUGUGCUGGGUUUUCAUUUUCAGGCUCUUAGGAGAUUCUUGUGUCUAUGUGUGUGUUCGACAGAAACCACAGUUGAUCACACUAGACAGGAAAUCUGACCAUCUGACCCAAAGUGCUUCAGACCUAUCUCUCUGCUAUGCCAUACAUACAAAUUAUACAAAUGACUGAUACUGAACCAGCUUGCCUCAUUCAUGAAUAAACACCUAAUCCCUGAACAGGGUGGCUUUUGCCCUGGAAAAUCAACAAUAAAUCAGCUGCUCAAUCUAAUUCAACAUAUUGAGGACGGUUUUGAAAGAGGCCGAAUCACCAGAGCUGUGUUCGUUGACCUAACAGCCACCUAUGAUAUGGUCAGUUAAACACUGAUGACUCCUGCACAAGACCCUGGAAAUGACAAAAGACCUACACCUUGCAGAGCUGAUAUGAAUCCUGCAUGAAAACAAACUUUUGUAUCAAACUGCAUGGGAAACAAAGCAGAUGGAUAUGACAGAUUAAUGGCAUUCCUCAAGGAAGCGUACUUGCACUGCUGUUAUAUAACAUCUAUACAACAGAAUGACCAGCCAGUCAGUUUGGAAACAAAAUGUUUCAUCCAUGCAGACAUCCUGUGCAUAACAUUGAAAAAUGUUUGAAAAAUCCCUGAGGCAUUAAUUGGCCUAACCUCAUACUACACACCGAUCCUGUGAAAACACAAGUAUGUGCCUUCCAUCUAAAAACCCAUGAGGCCAACCACCAGCUCAAGGAAAUACAGAAAGGUCAAGAUGCUGAUGGGAACCUACCAUAAGGUUGCCUCCAGAGCCCGGGAGCAGUUACCCCCGGACUGAGCGGAGGACCCUGAGGCCCAGUCAAUGGCUCCUUGGAGAGGAUUGUGAGUUGCUAGCAGAAUCAGGUCCCGCAAGGGAGGCAUUCCUGAAAUAAGCCCCCCACAGGGGGAAGCCCUGCGUGAAAGGUUCCCUCCCAGCUAGACCCGUAGGAAGGGAGGUACCCCUUGCUAACUGGAAUCCAGGGGAAGACACGCCCUAUAUGGUAUAAAGCUGCACCUUAUAUUUUCAAAGACUGUUAUCAUAAUUAUGGAUAUGUUGUACAAUAUGUGAUGGGAUUGGUUUAGUUUUGAAUAACUGGUUUCUCGUUGGUGUGCUGCCUGCUCACACCUUUCCCCCGCCCUUCCUUUUCUACCUGGUUGUACUCUGCCAGUGGUUUGUCUAGGUUCCCUGUAAACUUGCCUGUUGAUCCUAACUUACCGGGUUCACCCAUCUGGGUAUCCACCCCUCCUCCCCGCUCAGGCAUCCUGAGGACUUAGUCACGCCAGGCCUCUGUAGGGUGCAGGGCUGAGAAGGCCAUCCCCAAGGUGGGUUGCCCAUUAGGACAAGCUGCCCCAGGAGGUGGUUCCUGGCUUACCAUAUUGUAAAUAUUUAUCUGUAUACCCUUAGUGUUAUUGAAUGAUAUCAUUGGGAA